GCGACAUUUCAUCCCCUAAUCUUUGUACGGACAGAACUUUAUUGUACUGCAGUUUUGUAGGUGAUUUCUCCUCUUCUCCUUACUGGUUCUGGAGGAGGAUUCUCUCUAUGGACAGGAGGAGUCACUACAACUACUCCACCAGGAUCCUCACCAGAUCCCGUCAGUGAUCACUCAUCAUUGUCUUCCUCAGUAUGAAUCAGCAGUAAACACAAUCUCUGAGCUGCAGGGGUUAAUUCCUCUACAGGAGCUCUCCGCCCUCUUAUGAAAAGAGACUUUUCCACUUUCCUGCUCCUCCGUACCACAAUGGCGUCUGCUGAUCUGAAGGCCGAGCUGGACUGCUCCAUCUGCCUGAGCCUUUAUACAGAUCCUGUAUCCCUGAGAUGUGGACACAACUUCUGCCGCUCGUGUAUUGUGAGUGCGCUGGAUGCGCAGGAGGCAGCUGGAGUGUAUUCCUGUCCUGACUGCAGAGCAGAAUAUCCGGAGCGUCCGGCCCUGGAGAAGAACAGGAAGCUGGGGAACAUAGUGGAGCGUUUCUUAUCUGCUCAGCCUGAUAUGGAGGAGACCAGGAUUUUCUGUACUUACUGUACUAAGUCUCCUGUCCCGGCUGUGAGGACAUGUCUGCAGUGUGAGACCUCCAUGUGCCAUAAACAUCUCGGAGCCCAUAACAAGUCAGUGGAUCAUAUAUUAACAGAACCCACCAGAUCCUUGGGCAUCAAAAAAUGUUCCCUCCACAAGAAGGUUCUGGAGUUAUACUGCCCGCAGGAGGCAGCUUGUGUGUGUGUGUUUUGCUGUCUGGUCGGCGAGCACAGGGGACACCAGGUGGAACUUCUAGAUGAGGCGUCUGAGAAGAAGAAGAAGAAACUGAGGACAUAUCUGGAGGAACUAAACCCACAAAAAGCAAAAAUUCAGACUAAACUUCAGAAUCUGCAGGAUCGUCAGAGGAAUAUCCAGGAGAAGGCCUCUGAUAAGAGGAAGAAGGUCAGGAAGUUAUUUAUGGACAUUAAGGAGCAACUGGAAAUGGCAGAAAAGAAAGCGCUGAGCGAGAUCUCCAGGCAGGAGGAGAAGAUUGUGUCCCAGAUAUCUGAUCUGAUCAAGAAGCUGGAAAUAGAGAAGGACGAGCUGUCCAGGAAGAUGCGUCACGUGGAGGAGAUGUGUCAUGUCACCGACCCAAUAAGACUCCUACAAGAAAGUGACAUUACAGUAUGUGGUCAUGGAGAUGAUGAGGACACAGGGGGAGAUGGUGGAGAGGGCAGGUCUGAGGAUGGUCUGGAUGAGGUUCUGAUCUCACUGACCUUACACCGAUCUAUGAGGGAUAUUGUCACCAAUGUCACAUCAGAGCUCGGGCUCCAUGUUCCAGACAUAUUGCUGGAUGAGGACACUGCUCAUAGACGUGUGAAGAUAUCAGAAGAUCUGAAAACAGCAACAAGAACAGAAGAAGAACAGAACAGACCAGAAUCACCAGGAAGGUUCCUGGAUCGGUCCCAGGUGUUGAGCAGAUGUGGCCUCUCCUCAGGAAGACAUUACUGGGAGUUUGCUGGUGAUUUGAUUGCCCAAAAUUGUGACCAUGCCAAAGUGGAACGUUGAAAAGCUGAUAACUUUGGUGCAGGAGAGGCCUGAAUUAUGGGACAGCAGGCUCAACGUCUAUCAGGACAGAGUCAGAAAGGAUGUCUCCUGGGAGAAAGUGGCCAGGUCCAUGAGGCGCGUGGAAUGGCAAAAAGCCGAUGCCAGAGGCCGGGCAGAUUUAGUGAAACAAACAAAGACUCGGUGGAACAGCUGCCGGGAUCAGUUCCGCCGGGAACUGAAUGAGCGGGGAUGAAGUGGCGAUGGGGGUGCCUGAAAAAGGCCAUAUAUAUACACCGCGCAAUUGGAGUUUCUGAAGCCGGUGAUGGAUUUGAGGCCUACUGUGGACAGCUUGGAAGACGAUCCGGAGGAUUCGGAUGCUGGUGGGAGUGAAACUCCGGCAGUUUUCUCACCGGAAAGCAGCCCCACCCAUCCCCAGGCUGAGGAGCCACAACAACCACCUCUGGAGCCGCCAACCCUUUUACAGGGGACCCAGGAAACAACCCAGCAGCCUCAUCCAAGGCGGAGACGCAAUGUCCCUCAGGCUUCCUCGGCACCAGAUACGAGGGAACAAAUAGACGCCAGAGUGAUAGAAUUCCUGGCCAAGAGGAGGAGUGAGGGCCCGGAAGAAGCCGUGGUGAGGGGGCUGGGUCCUUUACUCAGGGGCGUCCCUGCCCACCGAUUGAGCCCUUGCGUGGCGGGGAUUGCCAUGUUAAUAGAGCUGUUCUCCUCCCCCUACGAGGAAGAUAUUGUCUCCGAGAUCUACCACGUGAGACGCCGGAUACUUGCGGCACGCGCUCAACAUGUUUCCGGCCAAAGUCAACCCCAACCCUAUGGCCCACCUGUACCUGGCCCAUCUUACCAGGUGGCCCCAGAAUCCAGCCGGCCAGCUUCACAAUACUUUCCACAGGCUGCCACCUAUGCCACUGCCCCACUGCCACAGCAACAGCAGAGGCCUGGCAGUUCUUUCCAGCCUGGUCCCUUCACCAGGGAUUUGUUCGACCUGUAAUUUGGUCUUCUAAUGUUUUUAUUUUAUAUUUAUUGAAU